AGAACGAACGCUGGCGGCAGGCCUCAAACAUGCAAGUCUAGGGGGUGUAGCAAUACAUCACCGGCGGACGGGUGCGUAACACGUGGGAAUAUACCUUUUGGUUCGGAACAACGCAGGGAAACUUGCGCUAAUACCGAAUGUGCCCUUACGGGGAAAGAUUUAUCGCCAAAGGAUUAGCCCGCGUAGGAUUAGCUAGUUGGUGAGGUAAUAGCUCACCAAGGCUCCGAUCCUUAGCUGUUCUGAGAGGAAGAUCAGCCACACUGGGACUGAGACACGGCCCAGACUCCUACGGGAGGCAGCAGUUGGGAAUCUUGGACAAUGGGGGAAACCCUGAUCCAGCCAUGCCGCGUGAGUGAUGAAGGCCUUCGGGUUGUAAAACUCUUUCGACGGGGACGAUAAUGACGGUACCCGUAGAAGAAGCUCCGGCUAACUUCGUACCAGCAGCCGC
rnacentral:rRNA from 1 species